UGAACACGAUAGUUGUUGCUCUGGGAACCGCCUCUAGUUUCUGAUAAACCAUCAUCAAACACAGUUGUGCAGCACAGAGCACACGAUUACAUACGUUCGUUCAUUCAUUCCCUCGCUCUGACUAGUGUUUUAUUAUUAUUAUUAUUGUUAUAUUUUAUUUUCUAUUUUCAACUUGAUCCGAUCGUUCUCCGGUGUUGAUUGUGAUUGUGAAACGACAAUUAAUGCCGCACUUUUUUCGGUGAAGACUGCUAAAGAAUGAACAACAUCCAAUUCUCUCGUAUCUAGUGAUUUGAAUUUGAUUUUAAAAAAUCGUCAACAUCAACAAAAAAAAGAGAAAAAAUUCAAAUAGCAAUGAAGAUUUUAUCAGAAUAAACAACAGAUCCAAUACAAGCGAAGUGUCUGUGUUAACGAAAUAAAAUCAACGAGUUUAAAAUAAAUGUAAACAACCCGGUUUUGUUGACUUCAUCGAAUUCCAAAUUUCAUAGAAUUUAUUAGACGUGCAAAAAAAAAUUCUCUCCUUUUCUGCGUGAAGAAAAAACUAAAGAUUUGAGUCACAUAGAUUUUAAUGUGACGUUCUCUUUAUUGGACCUUGGUGUCAACAAAGUUCAUGUUGAUAUUUUGGACAACUCACAUACACACACACAGCGUUUGGACAACGAAAUACCUUCGCAUUUCAACCGAAAAUACUCGCAAGUGAAGAAGACGACGGCGGUAAACACACAAAAGACAAAAAAGAAGAAAGAAAGUGAAAGCAUUGUAAGAAUUUUGCAUUUAACGAUGAAUUAACUGGACUUGACUUGAAUGAAGAAAGCUACGAUACAACGCAAAAAAAAAAACUCAACACAGCGCACACAUUGUCGUGGAGUGAAUUCGAUACGAUUCAUUCGCGAAUAAAUCGCUCAAAGCAAUCGAACAUACCGUAUACUAAAUAACGCGGAGAGAAAAAAAAUAAAUAGCACGAAACAUAUAUCUAUAUAUAUAGGUCUCGUGUAUAUUAAACUAUCGAAAUAAGUGAAAACGAUUUAACAGAUCUCUCGCUCUCCAUCCAUCUAUCUCAUUCGUUUUUUUUUUCACCAAAAAUUAAACAGCAUUCAUAUUAGGUGGAUACAAAUCGACUAAACGUAAUUGAAAGAAUACAGGGUGAUUAGCCGAGUUUUGUGAGGCGCAUUAGAGAAGAGCUUAGUGUCCCUUUUCGAAUGAUUGAUGGUGCUCAAAAUUCGUCACGAUGAAAAUGGGGCUGACAGCAUCGCCUCUACGCCGUCGUGGAUGCUUACUUAUAUUGGCUUUUUGUAUCAUGAUUCCAUUCACUCUAAUGAUGCUGUUUAUAGGACCUGAUUUAUCGGCUGAACUGACAAUGUCUCAGCGUUUAGCU